CACUAUCCACUCUCGCAACUUCCAUACACUCCACUUUCACCUCUCACCAUUUCCACAAGAAACCACCCACAUUUUCCCCACAAAAUACUCAACAACCCAAAGUGCUCCACUAUUCAAUCAACUCACCCUCUCUUCUUUAUGGACGAUAAUAAAAACAGAGAGCAGGGGAACUCAAAAGAAGAAGGGGGAUCUCCAUCAAAGAGAUUCUCAAUUUACUAACAACCUUUUUUUUUAUCAAAGAAAAGGUGUUAAAUUGUUAUUACUCUUCCUAGUGUGGUACAACCUCUUUGGUGCACCUUUGGCAAGAUGGUCCUGUCUCUGGUUCAAGCCCUCAAUCAUAUGCAAUGGGUAAUUCUAAUACCCAAACUAAGGAAACUUUGGAUCUUGUUUCUGGUGCUAGUCAAGGAGGAGGAUCAAGUGGUAAUUCAGUUAGAA
rnacentral:lncRNA from 1 species